rnacentral:lncRNA from 1 species
CAUAGUUCUUGCCCCCUCCCCACUCUGUUCCUGCUCUGAGCUGCUCACAUUGGCUCCAACUCUCUGCGCAGUAAAGGGGGUCCCAGGACCCAUCACUGCCCCUCCCCCCCGCUGGGAACUUUACAGACCUUGGGAUACUUUGUUUGCAGUUACUGUAGCUGUAGUGGAAUUCACAGAUUUCCUGUCCCAGGACUGAGCUGUCACCUACUGCUGCACCCCUGAUCUGUCUGCAGGAUUACUGGGGUACCCUGAUCUGUCUGCAGGAUUACUGGGGUACCCUGAUCUGUCUGCAGGAUUACUGGGGUACCCUGAUCUGUCUGCAGGAUUACUGGGGUACCCUGAUCUGAGUGCAGGAUUACUGGGGUACCCUGAUCUGAGUGCAGGAUUACUGGGGUACCCUGAUCUGUCUGCAGGAUUACUGGGGUACCCUGAUCUGAGUGCAGGAUUACUGGGGUACCCUGAUCUGAGUGCAGGAUUACUGGGGUACCUUGAUCUGCCUGCAUGGUCACCCCACUCUGUGCAGUAUUUCUGAGGACCCCUGAUCUGUGCAGGAAUAAUUGGAUCGUUGUGAAUGUGUACCCCAUUUUGUGCAGGAUUAGUGGGGGAUCCUUAUGUAACUGCAUGAGCAACCCACUGUGGUCAGGAAUUCGAGGGACCCUGAUUUGUCUGCAUGAGGACCCCACUGUGUGCAGGAUUACUGGGACACUCCGAUUUGUCUGCAUGAGGACCCCACUGUGUGCAGGAUUACUGGGACACCCCGAUUUGUCUGCAUGAGGACCCCACUGUGUGCAGGAUUACUGGGACACCCCGAUUUGUCUGCAUGAGGACCCCACUCUGUGCAGGAUUACUGGGACACUCUGAUUUGUCUGCAUGAGGACCCCACUGUGUGCAGGAUUACUGAGGGACCUCCAUCUCUCUGCAUGGUCACACAACUGUGUGCAGUUUACUGGGACACCCUGAUCUCUGGUGAUCACCCCAACUUUGUGAAGGAUUGCUGGGGCCCCUGAUAUUCCCUCUGUGUAUUGGAUUAUUGGGGUACACUGUGUGCAGGAUUACUGGGGUACACAGAUCCCUGACUGUGUGAAGAUGAUUACUGGGGGAUCCUGAUCCCUCCACUUGGUGCUGCAUUAUUGGGGCCCAGAUCCCACACUUUGUGGAGGAUUAUUGGGGGCCCUGAUCUCCAAGCAGGAAGUCAGGGUGAGUAGCUUGCCUUCUUCCCGAUUUCCAGUUAACAGCCCCCCUUCCGACCCCUUUUAUUAGAGUGAUCAUUACACUUUGUGUCUCAUGGGUAAUGCAGUAAAAGAGUCCAAUCAUUAGACUGAUAAUUGCAGAAUCAGGCUACAGGUCGGCAAAGCUUCAUGGGAGUUGUAGUCCUGUAACAGCUGAUCUCCCCUUAUAACACUGCCAGCCUCCCUGUUAUUUACAGAAAACACCCCUUCAGUGCAACAGGGUAGAUACACCAGCUGGGCAUCAGGUUCAUAUACUCUACUAUGGUAGGAAUUCUAUCAGCCUACCAGGCUGGCACGGAAGGGGUUAACAGCUAUAUAUGAGAGGCCUGUCCUGUUCUGAAUAGAGAGGGAUUACAGCUGGCAAAGGACACUAUUUACUAAGAUUGUAUCCCAAUUCUCUCAUCACAUCCAUUACUAUCAUUGGUUAACCCCUCCAGUAAAUGGUGAGCCUGGACUGACAUCAUCUCUUCCUGCAGACAGACUAAGGCAUGGAAAGUGCUACCCUGCAGUCUGUAGAAUUCAUAUUCUGCUGGAUCUCUUCUACAGCAUAUGAAUACUUAAAGGGGAGAACUUUUCAUGUACUGCUUUUAAAGCUGGCAGUGAUUUGUGUCCAGGAAAACAUGGCAAUUUGGUAAAGUAUUUACAACCCUGGUCGGUUAAUGUAACAUGUAUCUUCCAGGGUUGUUUACUAAUGGAGUAUUUCUGUUUUAAGGCGAAAGUUUUCAAAUUGAAAGCUGACAGAGAAUGUUCCACUUCUGCUAUUUAGAAAUGGAAAAUGUAGGCAAAACAGCUGAUCUGAAAUCAGUUACAAUCAUAAAACGGCUAUUUUAACCUCAAAUCUGCAAUUCUGUUUUCAAUUUUCCACAGUUUGGCGUUUAGCGACUUGGAAAUGGAAAUUGAGAAUUCAUGCUAAAAUUGAUAAAGUAGAAAAUGUUCCAGAAUUAACUAUGUUGGUAAUUUUAUAAAUUCUGAUUUAAAGAAGAACUGUAACCUCACGGGAUUUUCAAUAUUCUGUUUUCCUAUCUCUUAUAUUUGAAAAUAUGUUAAUUUUGACAUUUGGUUAAUUAAAUUAAAUGUGGAAAUGUACUAAAAUAUCCCUGAGCUGGGCACCUUAAUCUUUACUAUGGUCAAUCAUCAUAAAUGUUACACUUUAAUUCCAUUGCAUUUAGUUGCUGUUAGAGGAGAAACCAAGCUAUCCUAUUUCUCUUUGUCAUUUGCAUUGUAUGCCAUGGCUGUGCCAGGUACUGACAUGGAUUGUGAUGUCACUUGCUAAAUUUUUAAUAUACAUUUUUAGAAAAAAACGAAAGCAUCACUUAAAAAAAAAAAAAGUAUUAACAAGUUAUAGAUGAUUGUGGGUACAUUUUUCAUCGGUGUGACUGUCAAAGAGACACUGAGCAUCAUAAAUGUUACAGUCCAUCGUAGUGGUUCUAGUAGGCUACACGCUGGGUUGCUAAUGCAGAAAUUAGAGUUUGGUUUUGAAAAUGUAAGUUUCGGGCAAGUUUGGAGAGCAUUGAUUGGCUGAGAGCAACCCAGCUGACACAUUUAGCCAAUGAAUACUGCUAAAAUUAAGUUGAAAUUACUCUUACAUAUUAGACAAAAUAAAUUCAGCAGUAGCAAUAUGGCGAGCGAGGGAGGCUGUAGGUGCUUAGGGUACUCUUGGUGUCAGACAGUUUGUAAAUGGUUUGACACGGGAUUAUGGGACGGUGCAAGGGGCUUACUUCCACCAUAACCAAUCUAUUGUGGGCUGUUAGAGAGUCCCUUUAAAUUUAUAACAAAUCACUGUCUAGUGAAGGAACCUCCAUUUUUUUUUUAGUAUUAUAAUUUAAUAUGUUUUGUUGCUUUGGUUUAUUAAAAUGUUUUCCCAAGAAAUAAGAUAUAUAGUUAUUCCCCAGAAUUACCACCAUCCCCCCAAAACGUUUGUUUUUGGAAGAAAAACUCCAUAAAGUAAAGGAAAUCCUGACUAAUGUCUGCCACAGUUGUGCUUAUAUUUGGGUUGAUUCGCAGUGUUUUGUGAAAUACUUAUGAUACAGCGUGUUCCAGGCCUCAGUGGAGUUGGUGUUCUACAGAUAAUAUCUUACUAUUAACCCUUAAAGAGCCAGAGAAGAAGAGUGUUUUCUGCAUAAAUAAUUUGAGGCAAUAAGUGGUCAUUAUUUUGGGUGAACAUAUUACAGGGCUAUUCAUUAAAGCAGAGUAAAUCCAAAACCUUGUGUUAUUAGUCUGGAUCCCACAUUACUAAAAUUAGAUAUGAGUGGGGACCUAACUUGUACCAAAUAAUAGUAUGCAUCAUUUAAAGCAGAUCUGUCACUUUUUAUAUAUUCUUUAUAAAAUGCUGAUUAAGGCUGUAUUGGAAUUUUACUGAAAUCCCAACAAAAUCCAAAGUUAUCCUAAGACAAAGUAGGGACUACUGUGUCUUAUGGUAAAGUCUGUCAACUUUUGUCCAAUCCCAGUAGCCGUCGGAUGGCUGUGUGCUUCAAGCCUUUUCUGUGGAUUAUCUUGCAGGAUCCUCCAUAGACCUCCGUGUUUUAAUCUUGCGCAUGCAUGAGGGUAAUGUGAAGAGCCAGGACCCGAAGGGAUCUGCAGCCUAAACAUGGCAGCGAUCGCGAGGGACGGCAAAAGGAAAGGACAAUAAAAUAGCUAUUUCAGCAUAAUUGGAGAAACUACACGUACACCUUGUAAAGUAUUGUAUCUUAUAACAGCAUUGGUUUAAAAAUCCAUACUUCUGCUAUCUAUCCACCCAAAACUGAGUUUGUCCUCCAUCUUAUACUAAGUUCUAUUUUGUAUUCCGCACAGAUUUACUGGAGGCUAUGUCCAACAAAGGAUUAUUUUAUGGAAAAUACCCUAUAUCAUUUGUUAAAGGGACACUAUAGGGCCAAGAACACAAACAGGUAUUCCUGAAAAAAAACAAUCUCUAGCCCCCCUGGCCCCUCCCUUGUCCCCCUAAAUAUAGAAAAAUCUUUCCUUUAUUCCAGUCUGCUGGUGCUGGCUCUGCCCCGAUCUGUCUGCUUGGAUGAUUUCAGCCAGUCACAAAGCUUUCCCAUAGGAAAGCAUUGGAUUGGCUGAGAUUGUCAAUUCUGAUGAUCUCAGCCAAGGAGGCAUUGAAUCAAUGCAUCUCUAUGAGGAAAGUUCAGUGCCUCCAUGCUGAGGGUGAAGACACCGAAUGGCAGUGCUGCAGUGUCCUGCACUGCCCCAGGAAGUUCCUCUAGUAGCCAUCUGAGGAGUGGCCAGUGAAGUUAUCACUAGGCUGUAAUGUAAACACUGCCUUUUCUCAGAAAAGACAGUGUUUACAGCAAAAAGUCUGCAGGGACUAAUUAUACUCACCAGAACAAAUACAAUAAGCUGUUCUGUUGACCAGGGCCGCCAUCAGCGGGUGACAACCAUGAUGGUUGUAACGGGCCCGGCGGUCCUGGGGGGCCCGGUCUGCUCUGGCAGUCUCGGGCCCCACAUUCCCUCUCUGCACACAUAGCGAAUAUCGCUAUCUAUGUUUGCAGCCGCGGGCCCCCGGCUCCCUGUUACCGCAGAGGGGGCCCAGCACACUGCCUCUACUCUUCUCCUCUCUUCUAAUAACUCUUGCGAGACCCGUGGCCUUCUGAGUGUUGCCACGGGUUACUCGCGAGAGUUAUUAGAAGAGAAGAGUAGAGGCAGUGUGCUGGGCCCCCUCUGCGGUAACAGGGAGCCGGGGCCCCCCCAUGCCACCGGACCACCAGGGAUGUAAUCUCCCCCCUCCCUGGACACAGGUAAGAAGCAGGGAGGGGGGGAGAAACAUUUAAUGAAAUUAAUAUAAAAUUAAUGUGAAAAUGCCCCUUCCUCCAGCCCCUCUCCCCUAGAUUGCACAUUAACACACACUGCAUUCACUACACUUACACACAUUCUGCAUUCACUACACUAACACACAUUCUGCAUUCACUACACACUAACACACACUCUGUGUUCACUACACUGACACACACUCUGCAUUCACUACAUUGACACACACUCUGCAUUCACUACACUGACACACACUCUGCAUUCACUACACCGACACACACUCUGCAUCCGCUACACACUAACACACUCUCUGCAUUCACUAUACAUUAACACACACUCUGCAUUCACUAAACUAUGCACACACUCUGCAUUCACUAUACUGACACACACUCUGCAUUCACUACACUAACAUACACUCUACAUUAACUGUACACACAGCAUCCACUACACAAACAUCCUGUAUUCACAGUACACACACUACAUCCACCACACAUUGAAACACUCCGCAUUCACUAUACACAGACACUGCGUCUAAUACAGACACUGCGUCCACUAAACACAUUUCAUCUAGUACACACAAACACUACAUCCACUACACAACACACACUACAUCACUGUACACACACUACAUCCACUACUCAAACACACUCUGCGUUCACUAUACACACUGCAUCCGCUACACAAACACACACUCUGCAUUCACUGCACAAACAGUAUCUAAUACACACAAACAUUAGAUACAGCAUGUGUGUGUGUCCAUCAAUGUAAAUGUGCAUGUGUCUGUCAGUGUAUGUCUGUAUCUGUGAGUAUGUUUGACAGUUUAUGUGUGUGCGUGCCUGUCUGUCAGCAUGUGUGUUUGUCUAUCAAUAAUGUAUAUGUGCAUCUGUGUGUCAGUGUAUGUGUGUGCUUGUGCUUAGGUGACCAGCCCCUCCUCCGAUCAUGUGGGAAUGGUGUUUAUACUCCCCCCACCCCCUACAGCUGGCCCCAUCUCUAUGGCUGAAAUAAUCAGAUUGAUGAUCUCUGCCAAUCCAACUGAGAAGCUACUGUGCAUGCGCUGCAUAACGCUGCCAGUCAGCAUACCCUCCUAGAGCAUAUCUAUGGGGAACAUUCAGCGCCUCCAUGCAGAGUGUUGAGGUGUUGAUUGUAGAUGCUGCCUACUGUGCAGCCCUGGAAUAGAAAGCACUUUAGUGGCUGUCUGAGUUACUGCCACUAGAGGUAUCACUAGGCAGCAGUGUAAGCACUGCUUUUUCUCUGAAAAGUAAUUGUUUACAUUGGAAAGCCUGCAGGGACAGGCUAUAGACCCCAGAACCAUUACAUUAAGCUGUAGUGCUCAUGGUGACUAUAGUGUCUCUUUAAGAAUUGUGUUUUUGUUGUAGAAAAUAAAGCUUUGUAAGAUUAAAAAACCUGGCUCCUAACUUUUGUAGCUGGCUCCUAGAUUCAAAGAAAAAUUUUCAAGCCGUGUACUAACAGAUAACAUUUUAUAGUAUAACUUAGUUGACUGUUUACACUAAGUUUGCAAUCUGCCAUAGAUCCCCUCGCUGAUAUGAGAUGUAUGUCAGAAUGUUGAAGGCAUAAAAUUAAAGGGACUCUCAGCCUAUCACUACUCCCUAAUCUAUAUUAUAGACCAGGGCUUGACAAAUUUGCUUGGAAUCUAGGAGCCAGCUAAAAAGUUAGUUUCCAGUUUUUUUUGUUUGAUUUUUUUAACUAAGAAUGUUUCACUUUCAAUGACAAAAAUACAUAUCUUAAAGGGAUACUAUAGUCACCAGAACCACUACAGCUUAAUAUAGUGGUUCUGGUGUCUCCUGUCCCUGUCGGCAGAGCAAUGUAAACACUGCCUUUUUAGAGAAAUUGCAGUGUUUACUUUGCUGCCUUGUAACACUUCUACUGACAGUCACUCAGAUGGCUACUAGAGGUGCUUCCUAGUCCAGGGCUGCACAGUAGGCAGCACUGACGUUCAGCGUCUCCACGCUCUGCAUGGAGGCGCUGAAUGUUCCCCAUAGAUGCAUGGAUUCAAAGCAUAUCUUUAAGGAUAUGCUGAUUGGCGCUGAGUGGCGUUUUGUUACGCAUUAGCAAUAGCCUCCCAAUGUUUUCCUACGAAGAAGCAUUGGCUUGGCUGAGAUCGACACCUUUCCCAUGUGAUCAGAGAGGGGCCAGUAACCUAAAACACUCCCUCACUGACAGACACAUUUCUUCACACACUCACAUAUAUUUGUUUUUUAUUUUUAUUUCUGUGCACCUUUGUUAGAGCUGGAGUGGAUUAUUAUCCUGGGCUUUAGUGUAAUCUUGUUUAAUCUUCAAGCUCUGCUUGCUCUGCUCCCUCACGCACUGUAUAGUAAUGCGGGGGCUGGAAUGACAUCAUAUCUCGGCUUCCGGUAUCACAGCAGGCCGCGCAAGGGAGCAGACUGAGAACUGCAGUGAGAUUUCUGCCCCUAGUCUCCAUGCUCUGCCAGCAGGACGCCUCCACGUUCCCUAUGCCAUGCCAUGUGAGUAUACCUUUAUAGUAAUAAUGACUCCUAUAGGCUAUUUAUUUAUAUAAAAUAUUUCAUGUGGCAGACAGCAGCCCAUAAUUAACCCCUAAAGGACCAAACUUCUGGAAUAAAAGGGAAUCAUGACACGUCACACAUGUCAUGUGUCCUUAAGAGGUUAACCUUUAUGCUGCAAAGUUGUUGUUUUUUAACUGUUUGCCCAAUGGACAAACCGUUCCUCAAAUGAUCAAUUCACUUGAAAAACUGAAAAUAAUGUUAAUUUUGCUAACGUGCACCCUACUGAAUUUUGUUAAAGCUGGCGCUUUGUAAACCUUCGUAUAGGUUCAGAUGUGAAAGCGGCGUUUUUAAUCCAGACACCUAAUGCAUCCAUACAACUGCUUCACACCAGGCCAGACAGAGGGAAUUCCAUCCGUAUCUGGAUUUAGUAAUACUACGAAUUCCCAAUGCAGUAGGAAUGUUGUUAUUUUCACCAAAUUUUAUUCAUCCAGUUAAAAUCUGGUGUUAAUAAUCUCGUAAGUCUGUACGUCUGUCCCCCAGCUGUCAUUCAUAGCUGGAAUUCUAUUUUUUCAGGCAGCCUGUGUUCAUUCUGUCCAAGAUCGGUAUGCGGUAUUUGUACGCUGCCCAUGCAACGUAGGAUAAUCUCUCUCCUCUCCCUGUAAUUAACAUACGGCUCAGUUCACUAAAGUGUGAACCAGUCUGUGUGUACCAGUCUGUGUGUACACGGUUAGCAGACGCACAUAACUUAUAUCAGAUUAUUGAGCAGUUAACCCUGUGUGAUGACUGCCUCUGCUCUUAAGGGUUAAACUCCUUAUACAUAAACCACUUCUGGACAGACCUCACAGGCCAGAAUGAGUGGCCCCUGAUUGGCAAAACAUCAUCCAGGUGAGGUCACCAGAAGGUGAGUAUACAGUUGCAAGAAAAAGUAUGUGAACCCUUUGGAACGAUAUGGAUUUCUGCACAAAUUGGUCAUAAAAUGUGAUCCGAUCAUCAUCUAAGUCACAACAAUAGACAAUCACAGUCUGCUUAAACUAAUAACACACAAAGAAUGAAAUGUUGCCAUGUUUUUAUUGAACACACCAUGUAAACAUUCACAGUGCAGGUGGAAAAAGUAAUUCUUGACCAUUCCUCUUUACAGAACUGUUUCAGUUCAGCAAUAUUCUUGGGAUGUCUGGUGUGAAUCGCUUUCUUGAGGUCAUGCCACAGCAUCUCAAUCGGGUUGAGGUCAGGACUCUGACUGGGCCACUUCAGAAAGCGUAUUUUCUUCUGUUUAAGCCAUUCUGUUGUUGAUUUACUUCUAUGCUUUGGGUCAUUGUCCUGUUGCAACACCCAUCUUCUGUUGAGCUUCAGCUGGUAGACAGAUGGCCUUAAGUUCUCCUGCAAAAUGUCUUGAUAAACUUGGGAAUUAACUUUUCCUUCGAUGAUAGCAAUCCGUCCAGGCCCUGACGCAGCAAAGCAGCCCCAAACCAUGAUGCCCCCACCACCAUACUUCACAGCUGGGAUGAGGUUUUGAUGUUGGUGUGCUGUGCCUUUUUUUCGCCACACAUAGUGUUGUGUGUUUCUUCCAAACAACUCAACUUUGGUUUCAUCUAUCCACAGAAUAUUUUGCCAGUACUGCUGUGGAACAUCCAGGUGCUCUUGUGCAAACUGUAAACGUGCAGCAAUGUUUUGUUUGGACAGCAGUGGCUUCCUCUGUGGUAUCCUCCCAUGAAAUCCAUUCUUGUUUAGUGUUUUACGUAUUGUAGAUUCGCUAACAGGGAUGUUAGCAUUUGCCAGUGACUUUUGUAAGUCUUUAGCUGACACUCUAGGAUUCUUCUUCACCUCAUUGAGCAGACUGCGCUGUGCUCUUGCAGUCAUCUUUACAGGACGGCCACUCCUAGGGAGAGUAACAGCAGUGCUGAACUUUCUCCAUUUAUAGACAAUUUGUCUUACCGUGGACUGAUGAACAGCAAGGCUUUUGGAGAUACUUUUAUAACCCUUUCCAGCUUUAUGCAAGUCAACAAUUCUUAAUCGCAGUUCUUCUAGAGCUCUUUUGUGUGAGGCAUCAUUCACAUCAGGCAAUGCUUCUUGUGAAAAGCAAACACAGAACUGGUGUGUGUUUUUUAUAGGGCAGGGCAGCUGUAGCCAACACCUCCAAUCUCAUCUCAUUGAUUGGACUCCAGUUGGCUGACAUCUCACUCCAAUUAGCUCUUGGAGAUGUCAUUAGUCUAGGGGUUCAUAUACUUUUUCCACUUGCGCUGUGAAUGUUUACAUGGUGUGUUCAAUAAAAACAUGGCCACAUUUAAUUCUUUGUGUGUUAUUAGUUUAAGCAGACUGUGAUUGUCUAUUGUUGUGACUUAGAUGAUGAUCAGAUCACAUUUUAUGACCAAUUUGUGCAGAAAUCCAUAUCAUUCUUAGCUUAGCUAUAGUCUCCAAUUUGCACUUUGUCAUGAAUUUUCCUUUUUACUACAAUUUAGUGUUUAACGAACACAAUUUAAAGGGAUCUAUUUUACUAAACUGUGACUUGCAAUGUAUUGAAACCUGAAUUGCAAAACUGACACCAACAAAAGUUAAUUUAAAAAAAAAAUAUGCAACAACUCUGCUUUAGUUACAAUUUGACUAUUUUAGCUAGAAUUUCGCAAGGUUACUUCAUUCACUUUAUGAAUGGACUUUCACAUAGGCAGCAUAUAAUACACGGGGCUCUGUGGAAAUGAUUGCUUUUAUGUGAUUCUUCAAAGUUGAGUAACAUCAGAUUAGGUCAUUCGAAUAACUCAAUACAAGGGAAAGCAGAACUUGACAUGUUUCAAACCUGGAUCUGACUCUUAAUCAUUGGCUGUAUGUAGGCGUGGAACGCAUCAUGCGUCAUUGUGCCUUGCCUUGCCUUGCCUUGCCACAGAUCGAGGGAGAUAUAUCAAUGUUUCUAAAUGUUUGUCAAAAAGAAAAAUAGGUAUUUGCCUUUUGUUUCCCGCGAGUAUUCUGCGCCGCUCUCCGCGAUAAAAAGUAAUGUACGAGAACUCCAGGGAAAAAACCAAUAGUUUUCUGGUGGAAAAAUUAUGUUGAUGUUAAUAAUGGGAUACCUUAAACAAAAAGUGACCCAAAAUAAAAAAUUAUGGAGAAUUUGCAAAUGUCAUAAAUAGUGCAAAAAGGGGGUCAGAAAUAUCUCAGAAAAGGUACAGAUUAUUCAGCCACACUUUGGUAAAUCACCAGCAUUACUGUAAAAAGUAGAUGACGCUGCAAAGGUUACGGGGGGGACAAGGGUAUGUUCCUGGUCUAGGAGGAGGAGCCUUCCAGUUGUGGACACUUUGUGUUCCAGUGUAGCAGCUUUCUGAUCUAGGUUUUCAUUUUUUACUUUACUUUUUUUUUUCUGUAUAUUUUUUAACACAUUAGCUAUUUAAUGCAUUAGAUAAUUGGGGUCAAUUACUAUUUAUUGUUUCCCUUAUAUAAUAAUAAAAAUAUCACAUAUAAAAUUAUGUAAUGUAUUGGUUAGCUUGCAUUGCAUUAAGGGAUACCACACUCUGCAUUGUGGGAGCUCACAUAAUGCUUCUGCACUGACAUAUCUGUGAUUUAGCUUCAAUCUUCUACAAGGAAUAAAAUCUAAAUCACUGUAUAUACCCUCAUUUUUCAGCAAUUAGGCCACCGGGGCAUCAUGGGAAAUGUAUUUAGGGGACUAAGGCUAGUAAAGUAUAUUUAGGUGACUUGUUGUUCUCUUUAGAAAAGCCAGUUUUUCCAUUCCACGUUCGUAAUGUGUAAUGUGGUGUGUCUGCAUCCCGUGUGCACACGACAAAUACUUUCACAAAAUACAGUCACAGACUGCGUCACAUAGUAACCCUUUUCCUUCAAAAAUGGACAGAAAAUACCAUCUGUUCAUCAUUUUUCUAAAAAAGCGUUAUCGCUAUUGCUACGACUGUGCAAGAUACGCACAUUAACUUAUUUUUCUUUGUGUUCUUGUGUGAAGUACAUUUUGCACUUUUCACGAAAAAGAACACGUAUUUUUGUGAUAUGCGCUAUAAUUGUAGAUUAUGCUAGCUUUAGUAAUAUAAUUUUAAUUUUAUAACAUGACAGGAGGCUUCAUAUUUUGCUUAAGCUCCCCAGCAUAACAUUCACGUAGUAACAGGAUAAACCAAUCAGAAAAAAGGAACACAGAUAAUAAAAGUCCCUCCCCAAAUCAGCUCUUCCUCUUUCUGGCUGCGACACGAACCAAACAGGAACUGAUGAACGAACUGGAAUUAAGUCUCAGAAGAGUCCAAGAUUAACAGGAACGGUCUUGAAUCUGCACACUGGAAGGCCUUUUAAACUGAAACGAAAGAAGAGAGUCGAAAGGAGGGAUUCAUCAGAGAAUUGGACUCCUAAAUGCAUGCAACCUAGAUGAUUAAAAUUCAGAGUUUAACCAGUUAUAGUUACUAACUGAACAAAAAACCAGACAUGCUAUAAGAGAACUGCAACCGUACUCACCCCUCUGUCUUACCUGAUGAAGCAAACAAAAGGGACAGGGAAAAGAAAGGGUGGGAAAUAUUCGCCUCCUGUCAUUAAUAAAAUUAAGAUACACUAAAGCUAGCAAAAUUUACAAUUUUAUAACAUGACAGGAGGCUUCAUAUUUUGCUGUUUUGACACACAGCCGGACUGAAGUAGAAAUUGCGGAAAGUCUCCUCCCGGGACCAAUCCGUGGAUUUGGGGAUAUCAUGUAGAGAAGCACCUGCCAUAAAUGCACCUGAGGCCGCCGCCCCCCUGACCGAAUGUGCCCCAAAGGAAGCUUCGACCCUCGCUAAGGAGAGUAACCAUCUGAUCCAAUGUGCCAGGGUGGUGGUUGAGACUGGGGCAUGGAGGCAAACGUACGAGACCAAUAGUUGACCAGAGGGAGAGGAACGGAGGGAAGCGGUAACAGCUCAGUAAUGAGAGAGGGUAGACGCCACACAUAAUUUCGUGAAAUUGGAAAAAUAUGGAUAGAAAGCCGCGAAGAAAUCGGAUUCCGUACGUUGGGAUCUGGAGAAGGUAACCCCUCCCCUUUCCAAUUUGCACACCUUGGGGGAAUCUGAGUCAUCACAUUCUUCUGCAGAGCGUAGUGGCUCGGGGGAAGUUUUGUCCUUAAGCUCCGAGGGAAGGACCCGUGCUAGGGCCUUUUCAAUAGAAGCAGCCACUGCUGCGUUAAUAAGCGCCUGGAGAUUCUGGUCUUGAGCGGAAUCCAUAAUGUUAGCCAGUUCACCUGAGGGGCAGAAUAAGCCAGUAUUAGAAACAGGGACCAGUGCGCAUAUAUGUAAUAAAUUUAGCCACAUAUAUAUAACUGGGGCUGACCCAGUAGAAAAAUCCUCCGGUUGUAUAUAUACCCUGUAGGGAGGUAAUAGGGCACAGACAAAGCGGGCCAAUCAGAUAGAUGUACCAGGGACAGCGAAACCAUGCAGUGACCAAUAUAAAUAUACCCGAUAGAGUGGUCAUAAAUAAAUAUAGGGGUUUCACCCCUUACAAUAUCACUUGGAUGUAGAAGUGGCUUAGUGUAGAUAUAAUAAUAAUAUGAGGGUUUACCCCAGUAUAGGUAUUGUGGCAGAAGUACCCACUCUGCUAUAGUGAAGGGUCCAAUAAGAGGGGCUCACCCUCUAAACCCUGUAGCGUAAUGCAGGUAAAUAAUAAUAAAUAUGAAUCCUGUGAUACAGAUGGUAAAGUAAGGGUGGCAGCAGUGCGUGAGACUGCUGCAGGAACCUUGAAUACAUAUGAGAAAAACACUCUAUGGAAUUAGGAUGAUAUACUAACAAUCAAAAGCAGACUGAUUCAUAGCAAUGUGUGCAAGCUAGUUUAAUGACACAAUAUACUAAUCACUUAUACUUGAAUUAAAACUUUAAUCCUCCCAGAGCAAACUACAAUCAUUGAGAGAGAUGACCUAGCCUAACGUAAGGCUAGGUGCAUCAGAUAGCAUCCAGCGAUUUGCGGGAGACAGCCGCGAGCCAGGCGCAAACUAGGGUAUCAAUGCGCACUAGAGAGCCUGCACGGAUCGCAGACUCCAACAAAAUGGCCACCGCAAUCUCUCACAGGCGCGCAGGAUCCAAGAUGGCUGCCAGGAUUUAGCGCUAGUGCGCGGGAUCUCAGAUGGCCGCCACAAGGUAGAAAAAGCCCUGGAAAAUCGGGGAGGCAAAAAGCCAGCCGCUAUACCGGACAAAUGAAAGCAACACAAAAGAAACAAUAAGACACAAAACAAAAUAAUGAAAAUUACCCUGAGAGAAAGCAGAGCAAAAACCCAUGUAAAAUAAGAGAGGAAAAAAUAUAAAGCAAAAGUAGAAGUAUUAUAAAAACAGGAUGUACCUCAGAAAACAUAUAUAAUAAGGGAAACCAUAAGAAAUGACAGAAUAAAAAGAAACAUCAGAAAAAACAAGAUAAAAUACAGUAAUCCCCACAGAGUGGGAGACAGUGAGCUGUACUGGUGAGGAGCAGCAAAGAAAGAGGAAGAGCUAAAUGGGGGAGGGACUUUUAUUACCUGUGUUCUUUUUUCUGAUUGGUUUAUCCUGUUACUAUGUGAAAGUUAUGCUGCUGGGGAGCUUAAGUAAAGAAAGUUUUAAGCAAAAUAUGUAUGUAUCUAUCUAUAUUCUUUUUUUAACAGAAAAGCCCGUUACAGUACAUCUAAAACACUAAUUAUAUCCAAUUUAUAUUAAUUUUAAUAUUUAAUUUAAUAAAAUAAUGAUAGUCAGAAACAGAAAAAACAGAAAAUUGAAUAUUUUUUAUUAUUUUUUUUACAAAAAUGCAAAAAAAAAAAAAAAAGAGACUUGCUGCGGCCAUAAUUACGUGUCUGUCUUUUUUUUCCUAUCACAUUGGUCUUUCAAAAGGUAGCAGAUUUAAACUAAAUCUCCCCUGUGCUUUUAAGUAUGUUAUGCAAAUAUUUCAAUAUAAAUUUCCAAACAAAUAAAUUUGAAAUAACCUUUGGCGUUCCUUCAUUUACUUCUUGUGCAGUAAGAUCUCAUCAAACCAGGAAGUGGCUCAGCCAAUCCAAUUGCUCCCUUUAUGGAGUGAUAGUGAAACCUUAUAUAUACGGGUUAGCCGGGACGUGCGCUAUUACUAUCCACUGUAGGUUUGAUUCAUGAAAAAGAAUGAAGUUAUGUGUGCAGGGUUAUAUAAACUGGAUGCUAUAGAGUAAUUUGUGGACUUUAUGAAUUAACUUAGUCGUGGGUUAUACAGCUUUAAGUAAAACAAAAAACCUGCUAGCUGAACUGCAACACUUAAAAACUCCCAAUACACAGUGGUUAUGGUGGACAAUCGGACUGGAUGUUUGGUUCCAAUUUCUUUAUUUUAUCAUAAAAAAAAAAAAGAAAAAGAAAAUAAUUUUUUAAACACCCAGGCAGCAUGUCAGUAGUAUGUGUGUGUGUGUGUGUCUGGAGAUUUGUGCAUGUUCCAUUAGCUUACUAAAAUAUAACAAUAGUUUUUAUUGUUUAAAUGACAUUAUUUGCCCGGCUGUUCCUGACACAGCCAAGGCAUACCAUGCAAAUUAAUUAAAAACCCAUGGUGCUGUGCAUUCAGACUCUUUGGAAAGAAUGUCAUAUGUUUUACACCUACCUAGCUAUACUUGCCCUGCGUACCCCAAAAAGUACUUCAGCAGCAUUUGCUGAGGUGAAGGAAUGAGGGGCUGUCACUAUCAGGGAGUUUCCAGACUGUUUCUUUUUAACCGUGACAUAAAUCCUUUCGGCAUCCUGGCAGCCCUAUCAAUGUUUUACUUACACUCAUUAUUUUAUCAUCACUUUUCCACCAUAACUACAUGAUAAAUUCAUUUUUUUAUUUUUUAUUUCUAUUUAAGAAGUUGUUUAUAUGUACGAUGAACUUUAUUUUUAUACAGUGGAAAUUGUUACCCCUUUUAUAUUAUUGUCAAAGUUAUGUUGUGAUAUUUAUGUAAGACUAUACCUGUCCUGUUUUCUCAUAUUGACAGACAGGCCCAUUUGGCAGGCUUACAUACUGUCUGCAUUUCAAAGUGAAUUUUAGGUUCAGUUGCGGAAGUCAAUCAAGAGGUGAGAUAUUGCAGAUCACCAUAGAAUAUUUUGGCUCUUCAUAAUUAGCAAUACUGUUAAUUAUUAUGUUAAUAAUGUUAAUAAAUGAAAAAUGUUCUGCGUUUGCACAUACUGCCGCUAAUCGUGCCCACUCGGACAGACUGGGUACAUUGGUUGGAUGGCAUUGCAAAUCCAAUCAUAUCUGUAUAUAUAUACAUUACAUGGCAAUUUUACUAAAAUACUAAAAACUGUUCCACAUCACACAUCAUUUCUGUGCUUUACAUUUUGCGUAGAAGAGAGCUAGCUGAGCAAUUUAAAAAUAGAAUAGAAAGAACUCGUCAAUUUCAACAUUAAUUAUUUAAAGUGGUGUCACCUCCCUUCCCGAACAAUUGGCACGUCGUUUGCUUUAAUUUAUACUCCUGCUCGACAAAUCGCAAAGUAUCAACAGUGUUUACUUAAAGGGAUACUCCCAAUUCUUUGUUUAGAACAUUAUAUUGGUAAUGCAUGAAAAAAUGUAUUCAAAAAUAAUAUAUUAAAAAUAAUAUACAAUGUAAUAUACAAACUUCUUACGAUUCUUCAUUUAAUGCAAAUCCCCAAGAUUUAAUAUAGCAUAAUAAUAAAGUCAAUAAAAAUGACAAAGUAAUCUUCAUAUUUUAUCACAUGUAAAACAUUUCUAGUAAAUUAAUAGUAGAUAAAAUGUUUCUACCCGCCGUAUUUAAUGUUCUCUCUGUAUGUAAUACAUUAAGAACAUGUAGAUAAUAUUGUAGAAGUAUUUUUACAAAUAUCUUAACAUCUGCCUAAAUUGUUUGCUAAUACUGAAUGCAAAUUAUAAGUAUUUAUUAUGCUUUAGUGAUUAAUUUUAAUUUCUCUUUUCAAUUGAUGCUCCCAGUUUAACCUCUUAAGGACCAAACUUCUGGAAUAAAAGGGAAUCAUGACAUGUCACACAUGUCAUGUGUCCUUAAAUUAAAGACAUCACUGUAAAGACUUUCAGCUUGUACGCGUAAUUUGUUUUGUACAGAAGUUCAAAGCAAAACAGAAUUUCGUGGCCUCUUGAGCUUAGACUUUCGCUGUCGCUUUAUAUACGCUCGUAAAACAUUUUUGGAACCGUGCCUCUUUAAUCAGAUAUUUAUUUUUGCAUCUAUACACCAAGAUGACUUUUUGAACGUGUUAUUAUUUCCAACACUUGUUGUGGAAGGUUUUAGGUCAUCUAUAAAUCAGGCCUUUCCUGUGGAGGUAAAUAAAAUCUGAUGGCAGACUGUUCAAUAUCCUUGUUUUUUUGGAAACGGGAAACGCUGAGGGUCUAAAUUAACACAUACUUUGCCCAACCAAGCUGUUUUUGUCGACCUGUUUUUAUUUAGGAAACAGUUUUUUAUAGGGAAAAGGGAAACUUGCAGUGACUUGGCACAAACACCGGACACAUUUGCACAAAUUGUUUUCCUUUCAUUUUAUUUACUUCUAUAUUCGUAUAAAGUACCAAAAAUCUAUUCCCUGGCAAUAGCUUAGUCAGCAAGUUCGAAAAAGAAAAACAGACUGCUAACCUAGUGAGAAAUUUCAGUGGCUAGGGCUCCUGUCUGAGUCGCAGGUUCGAUUCCCUGCAAGAUAAGCUCAGGCUUUAACAAAAUGAACAAGGCUUCGAUUUAAUAUUUUUGUUUAAUCUUUUCAAAUUAUUUGAUAUUUUUGGAUAAACUUUUGAAAUGAUUUUGUCAAAAUAUUAAAGUAUAAAAUAUCUGUGUGUGUGUGUGUGUGUGUAUUAACCCCUUAGUGACCAGACCGCUUUUCAAUUUUGUUACCGUUAAGGACCAGGGCUGUUUUUACAUUUCUGCAGUGUUUGUGUUUAACUGUAAUUUUCCUCGUACUCACUUACUGUAUCCACACAUAUUAUAUACCGUUCUUCUCGCCAUUAAAUGGUCUUUUUUAAAGAUACCAUUAUUUUCAUCAUAUCAUAUGUUACUAUAAAUAAUAUUAUAAAAUAUGAUGAAAUAAUUUAAAAAAACACACUUUUUCUAACUUUGAGCCCAAAAAUAUGUUAUGCAUCUACAACCCCCAAAAAACACCCAUUCUAAAUAGUUGGUAGUAGUAGUCAAAAUUUUGUCUUGAGUUUAGAAAUAUGCAAUGUUAACAUGUUCUUAGCUUUUUUUGGAAGUUAUAGGGCUAUACGUACAAGUAGCACUUUGCUAUGCCCAAACCAUUUUUUUUUUCUUCAAAAUUAACGCAAGUUACAUUGUAACACUGAUAUCUGUCAGGAAUUCCUGAAUAACCCUACACAUGUAUAUAUUUUUUUAAAAGAAGACAACCUAAGGUUGGGGUAUUUUGACUCUUUUCGUGCAACCAUUUUACCACCAAUCUAUGCCAAAAAAAAACCUCCAAAAUUGGUGAUUUUUUUGACCCACAUAGCAAUUUAAGAAUACAUAUACUGAGAACUUUAAGGGUUACUGCCAAAUAACUCCCCAAUAUGUGUUCAGCAACAUCUCCCGAGUACAUUGAUACCACCCAUGUAUAGUUGUGUCGGGUUCUCUGGGGACUAAAAUACCUUAUUAAAGGUUAAAGUGAGAGUUCUUGGGUCUUUGGUCCAGGACAGCAAGAACCCAACGCUGGCUGCGGUGUUUACGGUGUCUGGUGGAGUGCUUGGUGAGCACUAGGAAGCAUCGAUUGGCGGAGGCACGCAGUCGGGGUGCCAGUCAGUCCGCCACACCAACUUGUACUGAGAGAGCUGAGCUGCAGACAUCCUGACUGUGACUAGUCCAGAUCACUAAACAAUGAGCUAGGCUAUGUGCAAACUGACCACAGCAGUAUAUUAUAUAACAUAAUAACUAGUAUUUCUCCCAGUUAGACUCAUAUUUACUCAGAAUUCACCCAAUCAGCAGCUGAAUAAUAAUAGACGUUGUUAUUAUUACCAAACUGAUGGUACUCAUUUUAUCAACCUCAGAAGAAUGAAGGGCUGAGUUGACCCUGCUGGGAUCUGAACCUGUGAUCUUGCAUUUUUUAAAUAUUUUUUUUAACAGACUCUGUAGUCAGGGAAUUUACCAACUGAGUUACCUCACUAUUAUUUUACAGAUCAAUUCAUAUCAUCCUGUGUGAUGAAUGUAACGAAUAACUACCCAAGGGGAUGAAUUACUAAAAUAAGAGGCAUUUUCAGAUGAGGAGAUGUCUGUAUGCAGCUAUAGGCUGACACAGUAACCAGC